rnacentral:rRNA from 1 species
AGUGAACGCUGGCGGCAGGCCUAACACAUGCAAGUCGAGCGGCAGCGGGUCCCCGCGAGGGGAUGCCGGCGAGCGGCGGACGGGUGAGGAACACAUCGGAAUCUGCCUGGUUGUGGGGGAUAACGUAGGGAAACUUACGCUAAUACCGCAUGCGACCCUGAGUCGACGGACUUGGGGUGAAAGUGAGGGACCUUCGGGCCUCACGCGACCAGAUGAGCCGAUGUCGGAUAGCUAGUUGGCGGGGUAACGGCCCGCCAAGGCGACGAUCCGUAGCUGGUCUGAGAGGAUGAUCAGCCACACUGGGACUGAGACACGGCCCAGACUCCUACGGGAGGCAG